rnacentral:rRNA from 1 species
UACAGAGGUGGCAAGCGUUGUUCGGAAUUACUGGGCGUAAAGGGCGCGUAGGCGGCCAUCUAAGUCAGACGUGAAAUCCCUCGGCUUAACCGGGGGAACUGCGUCUGAUACUGGAUGGCUUGAGGUUGGGGAGAGGGAUGCGGAAUUCCAGGUGUAGCGGUGAAAUGCGUAGAUAUCUGGAGGAACACCGGUGGCGAAGGCGGCAUCCUGGACC